rnacentral:rRNA from 1 species
GACGAACGCUGGCGGCGUGCUUAACACAUGCAAGUCGAACGGAAAGGCCCUGCUUUUGUGGGGUGCUCGAGUGGCGAACGGGUGAGUAACACGUGAGUAACCUGCCCUUGACUUUGGGAUAACUUCAGGAAACUGGGGCUAAUACCGGAUAGGAGCUCCUGCUGCAUGGUGGGGGUUGGAAAGUUUCGGCGGUUGGGGAUGGACUCGCGGCUUAUCAGCUUGUUGGUGGGGUAGUGGCUUACCAAGGCUUUGACGGGUAGCCGGCCUGAGAGGGUGACCGGCCACAUUGGGACGGAGAUACGGCCCAGACUCCUACGGGAGGCAGCAGUGGGGAAUAUUGCACAAUGGGCGGAAGCCUGAUGCAGCAACGCCGCGUGCGGGAUGACGGCCGUCGGGUUGUAAACCGCUUUCGCCUGUGACGAAGCGUGAGUGACGGUAAUGGGUAAAGAAGCACCGGCUAACUACGUG